CCUACGGGUGGCUGCAGUGGGGAAUAUUGGACAAUGGGGGGAACCCUGAUCCAGCCAUGCCGCGUGUGUGAAGAAGGCCCUCGGGUUGUAAAGCACUUUCAGUGAGGAAGAACGCCUGGUGGUUAAUACCCAUCAGGAAAGACAUCACUCACAGAAGAAGCACCGGCUAACUCCGUGCCAGCAGCCGCGGUAAUACGGAGGGUGCGAGCGUUAAUCGGAAUUACUGGGCGUAAAGCGCGCGUAGGUGGCUUGAUAAGCCGGUUGUGAAAGCCCCGGGCUCAACCUGGGAACGGCAUCCGGAACUGUCAAGCUAGAGUGCAGGAGAGGAAGGUAGAAUUCCCGGUGUAGCGGUGAAAUGCGUAGAGAUCGGGAGGAAUACCAGUGGCGAAGGCGGCCUUCUGGACUGACACUGACACUGAGGUGCGAAAGCGUGGUAGCAAACAGGAUUAGAUACCCCUGUAGUC
rnacentral:rRNA from 1 species